rnacentral:other from 2 species
AAAUGCCUGCGGUGUACGUUGUGCAAUAUAAUUCAACCUACAAUAUCGUCAAGGUUUCUGGAGUUUAAGAGGAUAUGUCAAGCCUCCUUUGAGAGGAAGACAGAAUGCUUGAUGGGGAAACCACCUUUCUUGAAGUAAGGGCGUGAAUUAAGUUGCAUGACGGCAUUGUGGGUUUUUU